ACUUCCUGUUACAGUGGCGGAUGAGGACAGGCAGCAGGUUCAUGAAGGUGUUGUCUCUGUUGCGCACACAUCAUGUGAUUUGGAAGGAGUGGGGGAACUGCCCUCAGGAGGUACAUGCAGGUCCAGCAAGUUGGGAUGACCAGUCGCAGAGUGCUCAGGGGCAGGAGGAGCUGCUGCCCUAGGCCUGUCACAGAAUUCUGACUUUGAGGCCUGCUUCUUUUCAAAGUCGCCCAAGUUCCCUUGUGCUGCACUAAAUCUCUACCAGAAAAAAAUGGCUUGACAAAUGGAUGCACCAUAGGAACACUCCAGCUAGAUGAGAGAUCUGCACUGUCCCUCCUGCCUGAGGGGGUGGUCACUGGCCUGGCAACCCCGAGCAAGCAGUGGGGUCUACUGAACGCCCUGAUGAUCUUCAGAGCAUGCUACCUGGGGAAGAGCAGAACUUCGGUUCUGUCACAUAAACCUUUACCACUAAGCACAGGAAACAGAAAAGGAUGAUAGGAGGAUCCUUGACACGGGAACCCCUGGCUCUUGGUUCUCUGUCCUGUGGGGUCAGAAGAGAAUCCCGCACUGGAAAAACGGCCGUGGCACCCACCUGUGGGCGUCCGUGUGGUGAACUCAGGGUCGAAGUGGAAGGUGUCCUCGGGCCUGCCCACUGCUGGUUUGAAGGGUGGCUUGAUCUCCUUCCGGUACAGCUUCUGCAAGGAAAGCAAGGCCGCGGCUGUGGGAAAGGCCAUCUGAGAGCCCUCGCCUGCACCUGGGAGCUGCUCCGCACACGCCCUGCUCGAGCCCAUGUAAGAUGUAGACUGUCAAGGUGUCCUAUCCCAAGGAUCACACACAGCACGGUAUACAUGGAACAAUUGCCUAUGCAUAAAAAUAAAUAUUCAGAAGGCCAA